CUCGUGCGUCCAGUAGGGGGAGGCUGUGUCAUAUAUUAGAACAGCAGACCGUAUGAUAGCAGAGCAGACCUUGAAGCGAUACGAAUUGAGUGAGCGAGAGCACUUUGAUAGGCGGAUAAAAAACAUUGAAAGAGUGGCAAACCAGGAGAGUCAUCUACAGGAGUCAUGCUGUUAAGAAAUAACCAAGUCAUGGUGUUAAUAAUUCUUUUUGUGAACCACAAUAUUGUCUCUUUCUUUUAAAUGACCCUUGGAAUUUUAGAAAAGUUACAUUGUGUUUGUCUUCAUAAAAUGCUACGUAGGAUGUUUUGUAGCUGUAUGACGACCUGUGAAUUGUACAGCAGAUAUUUUAUUUAGGAUCCAUAAUUACACAGUUUAUGUCUAAUGGCCUAAAUAUGGUUAAUAUCCAAAUGUAACUUAAUAUAAAAUCACAACAUCAUAUAUCAGUCAGUCUCUUGUAUAUAAAAACAGUUUAUAAAUAAAUAUAAAUAGUUAAGUGUGACGUCAUCAUGCGCCUCUUCCGGGUCCAAUCGAUUUCAAAUGCCACAGGAAAACACGCUAAUAUACACUCGAAUCAUAAUCCCAAACUAUUUAAACCCAUGAUCCUUAUUUUUAGCUCCAAUAAUAAAAACCAAGAUGACCAGAUAUGGAUUUUUUACUGUCUGUGGUUCCGUAGUGUGCAGACUGCAGUGUAAGUUUAUACAAUUUUCGCUUAAAUGUGUAAUAUUAGUGCUCAUAAACGGUUGUUUAAAUAGGCUAGUAUCCUAGUUGUAUUUCCCUCUCCCCCUACUGGACGCAUGAGUAGCAACAGGGGCGCAAAACUGCCAGGGGCGCAAAACUGCCAGGGGCGUAGAUCUACCGGCUCCAGGUCUGCAGCCUCCCCAUAUAGGUUAUUUUACUUUCCCAGCCCCAGUUUUGCUGAUCCAAAAAUUAUUCCGUCUAUGAUUUCAAAAACGCAAUGUAAUCCAUUUAACCAAUAAGAUCAACCAAAGUCUGGCCUUGCCGCAGUGUUUCACAUUAAUCUGAGGGGUAAAAACCGUUAAGGGUUUGAGUUAAGGGUAAUUUGGGGUUUAUUUGAUUACAACCAGGAUAAGAUGAUUGUUGAUCCUGGAUUACAUCUUUGUCAAAUCACAGCGACCCUAUAAUGGGAGGGGGGCUUAGCUAGGGGACCCCCCAGCUUUGACAUUAUUCAAACACUGACACUACAGUAUCUGUCUGUCUGUCUACUAUUCUACCACACUGUAAGGCCCAUACAGGUUGAUUGAACCUAAAACAUUUAUGGAAACUCGUUGCCCUAAAAAAGUUAAUUUUGCCUGGUUUAAAUAACAAUUAAUUUUAAGUUUAAUGUACUUAAUGUUUUAAUUUCUUCCAAUAUUCCUGCACUCUUAACCCAGAUUCGAUGACAUUAUGUGUGAGGAAACCCAUUGCAUAUAACUUAAGUUUUUAUUACAUUUGAUGUUAUAAAUGGUUUUAUAACAAAAAUUAAUGACUGACUUUAAGUCAGUCAUUGAAUAAACGUGAUUCUCCACAGAAACACACAAAAAAUGUGUUUUGACAUACAUUGUCAGUACUGUGGAGAGAAAUAGAGUAAAAUGUUUUGAACAGGGUUCAUGUACGGAAACACUGAUCACCUGAAUGGUGCCUUCACAAAAUUAUAAUUUACAACAAAACAACAUCAAUAAUAUAAGAGCUUGAACCUAUAUGACAUUUUAUUAACAAAUAUUUGAGUACAGAAAGUUCUUAUCAGUUUUUAAUUUGUGAAAAAGCAGAAAAUAAUCAAAAUAUUCAGGCGCAAAGGAUUAUGGGUAUUCCUCACAACAUGAACUAAUAAUUUUAAGUUCAUUUUACUUGAAUGUUUUAGUUUAAUAGAUUUUGUAAGGUUAACAGUUAAAUCAACAAAUACAUUUAAGCUUUGGCUUCAAAACAGAAAAUAUUAAUGAUUUUUCCUUGAUUGUUUGAGUAAAGACAAUUUCUGGGUUAACAGUGCAUGAAUAACAUUACAGUUAAAUAAUCAAGUAAUAACUCUCUAUUAUUCAUUAUGAAAUUGUGUAAUCAGUUUAAUUAAAGAGAUUUUUUAUAAUAGUCAAACAAAAUAAAAGCAUAUUCAUGGCAAGC